rnacentral:rRNA from 1 species
CCUACGGGAGGCAGCAGUGAGGAAUAUUGGUCAAUGGGCGGAAGCCUGAACCAGCCAAGUCGCGUGAGGGAAUAAGGCCCUACGGGUCGUAAACCUCUUUUGUCGGGGAGCAAGGGCGGGGACGUGUCCCGUCCCGGAGAGUACCCGUAGACAAAGCCUCGGCUAACUCCGUGCCAGCAGCCGCGGUAAUACGGAGGAUGCGAGCGUUAUCCGGAUUUAUUGGGUUUAAAGGGUGCGUAGUCGGGCUUUUAAGUCAGCGGUAAAAAUUCGGGGCUCAACCCCGUCCGGCCGUUGAAACUGGGGGCCUUGAGUGGGCGAGAAGAAGGCGGAAUGCGUGGUGUAGCGGUGAAAUGCAUAGAUAUCACGCAGAACCCCGAUUGCGAAGGCAGCCUUCCGGCGCCCUACUGACGCUGAGGCACGAAAGUGCGGGGAUCGAACAGGAUUAGAUACCCCGGUAGUC